UGAUCUGCUGUUUCCAUCAAAAAUGAAGCUGAUUUUGGUCUUCAGUGCCCUCUUUGGCGCUGCCUUGUGCCUGGAAACAUUUGUUGGACACCAGGUUCUCUGAAUCAAGGCAAGCAAUGAGGAACAGAUUGAAAAAUUGCAGCUUUUGGAAACGCUGGAACAUCUUCAGCUGGAUUUCUGGUUAAACCCCUCGACCCCUGCUCACCCUGUGGAUGUCCGAGUCCCGUUUAACAGCCUCCAAGCCGUCA